rnacentral:tRNA from 1 species
UUCCUGGUGGCUUAGAUGGUAAAGAAUCUGCCUACAAUGCAGGAGACCUGGGUUCAAACCCUGGUUGGGAAG